rnacentral:rRNA from 1 species
CCUACGGGCCGCACCAGUGGGGAAUAUUGCACAAUGGGCGCAAGCCUGAUGCAGCCAUGCCGCGUGUAUGAAGAAGGCCUUCGGGUUGUAAAGUAGUUUCAGCGGGGAGGAAGGUGUUGAGGUUAAUAACCUCAGCAAUCGACGUUACCCGCAGAAGAAGCACCGGCUAACUCCGUGCCAGCAGCCGCGGUAAUACGGAGGGUGCAAGCGUUAAUCGGAAUUACUGGGCGUAAAGCGCACGCAGGCGGUUGAUUAAGUUAGAUGUGAAAUCCCCGGGCUUAACCUGGGAAUGGCAUCUAAGACUGGUCAGCUAGAGUCUUGUAGAGGGGGGUAGAAUUCCAUGUGUAGCGGUGAAAUGCGUAGAGAUGUGGAGGAAUACCGGUGGCGAAGGCAGCCCCCUGGACGAAGACUGACGCUCAGGUGCGAAAGCGUGGGGAGCAAACAGGAUUAGAUACCCCAGUAGUC